GUCGAACGGCAGCGGGUCCUUCGGGAUGCCGGCGAGUGGCGAACGUGUGAGUAAUGUAUCGGAACGUGCCCAGUAGCGGGGGAUAACUACGCGAAAGAGGGGCUAAUACCGCAUACGCCCUUAGGGGGAAAGGCGGGGAUCCUUCGGGACCUGUCACUAUUGGAGCGGCCGAUAUCGGAUUAGCUGGUUGGUGGGGUAAUGGCCUACCAAGGCGACGAUCCGUAGCUGGUUUGAGAGGACGACCAGCCACACUGGGACUGAGACACGGCCCAGACUCCUACGGGAGGCAGCAGUGGGGAAUUUUGGACAAUGGGGGCAACCCUGAUCCAGCCAUCCCGCGUGUGCGAUGAAGGCCUUCGGGUUGUAAAGCACUUUUGGCAGGGAAGAAAUUGCCUGGGUUAAUAGCCUGGGCCGAUGACGGUACCUGCAGAAUAAGCACCGGCUAACUACGUGCCAGCAGCCGCGGUAAUACGUAGGGUGCGAGCGUUAAUCGGAAUUACUGGGCGUAAAGCGUGCGCAGGCGGUUCGGAAAGAGAGAUGUGAAAUCCCAGGGCUCAACCUUGGAACUGCAUUUUUAACUACCGGGCUAGAGUGUGUCAGAGGGGGGUGGCAUUCCGCGUGUAGCAGUGAAAUGCGUAGAGAUGCGGAGGAACACCGAUGGCGAAGGCAGCCCCCUGGGAUAACACUGACGCUCAUGCACGAAAGCGUGGGUAGCAAACAGGAUUAGAUACCCUGGUAGUCCACGCCCUAAACGAUGUCAACUAGCUGUUGGGGCUUUCGGGCCUUGGUAGCGCAGCUAACGCGUGAAGUUGACCGCCU
rnacentral:rRNA from 1 species